rnacentral:rRNA from 1 species
GAUGAACGCUGGCGGCGUGCCUAACACAUGCAAGUCGAGCGAUUCUCUUCGGAGAAGAGCGGCGGACGGGUGAGUAACGCGUGGGUAACCUGCCCUGUACACACGGAUAACAUACCGAAAGGUAUGCUAAUACGAGAUAAUAUGCUUUUAUCGCAUGGUAGAAGUAUCAAAGCUCCGGCGGUACAGGAUGGACCCGCGUCUGAUUAGCUAGUUGGUAAGGUAACGGCUUACCAAGGCGACGAUCAGUAGCCGACCUGAGAGGGUGAUCGGCCACAUUGGAACUGAGACACGGUCCAAACUCCUACGGGAGGCAGCAGUGGGGAAUAUUGCACAAUGGGCGAAAGCCUGAUGCGGCAACGCCGCGUGAGCGAUGAAGGCCUUCGGGUCGUAAAGCUCUGUCCUCAAGGAAGAUAAUGACGGUACUUGAGGAGGAAGCCCCGGCUAACCCUGUGCCAGCCGCCGCCGUAA